GAUGAACGCUGGCGGCGUGCUUAACACAUGCAAGUCGAACGAUGAAGCCCAGCUUGCUGGGUGGAUUAGUGGCGAACGGGUGAGUAACACGUGAGUAACCUGCCCUUAACUCUGGGAUAAGCCUGGGAAACUGGGUCUAAUACCGGAUAGGAGCGUCCACCGCAUGGUGGGUGUUGGAAAGAUUUAUCGGUUUUGGAUGGACUCGCGGCCUAUCAGCUUGUUGGUGAGGUAAUGGCUCACCAAGGCGACGACGGGUAGCCGGCCUGAGAGGGUGACCGGCCACACGGGGACUGAGACACGGCGCAGACUCGUAGGGUGGGGAGCAGUGGGGAAUGUUACACAAGCGGCGCAAGUCUGAUGCAGCGACGCGGCGUAAGGGAUGACGGCCUUCGUGUUGAAAAACUCUUUCAGUAGGGAAGAAGCGCAAGUGACGGUAGCAGCAGAAGAAGCACCGACUAACUACGU
rnacentral:rRNA from 1 species